AGAGUUUGAUCAUGGCUCAGGACGAACGCUGGCGGUGUGCUUCACACAUGCAAGUCGAACGAGGUAGCAAUACCUAGUGGCGGACGGGUGAGUAACGCGUGGGAAUCUGCCCGAGGGUGGGGGAUAACUAACCGAAAGGUUAGCUAAUACCGCAUAUGCCGUGAGGUAAAAGGAGUAAUCCGCCCCUGGAUGAGCCUGCGUCCGAUUAGCUAGUUGGUGGGGUAAAAGCCUACCAAGGCUACGAUCGGUAGCUGGUCUGAGAGGAUGAUCAGCCACAAUGGGACUGAGACACGGCCCAUACUCCUACGGGAGGCAGCAGUGGGGAAUUUUACGCAAUGGGGGAAACCCUGACGUAGCGACACCGCGUGAGCGAAGAAGCCCUUUGGGGUGUAAAGCUCUGUCAGCAGGAACGAAUAAAAUGACGGUACCUGCAGAGGAAGCAUCGGCUAACUACGUGCCAGCAGCCGCGGUAAGACGUAGGAUGCAAGCGUUGUCCGGAUUUAUUGGGCGUAAAGAGUUCGUAGGCGGUUUGUUAAGUUUGAUGUUAAAGAUCGGGGCCUAACCCUGGGAGUGCAUUGAAUACUGGCAGACUGGAGUGCAGUAGAGGCGAGUGGAAUUCCCAGUGUGGCGGUGAAAUGCGUAGAUAUUGGGAAGAACACCGGUGGCGCAGGCGACUCGCUGGGCUGUAACUGACGCUGAGGAACGAAAGCUAGGGAGCAAAUGGGAUUAGAUACCCCAGUAGUCCUAGCUGUAAACGAUGGAUACUAGGCGUUGCAGGUAUCGACCCCUGCAGUGCCGCAGUUAACGCGAUAAGUAUCCCGCCUGAGUAGUACGGCCGCAAGGUUGAAACUCAAAGGAAUUGACGGGGGCCCGCACAAGCGGUGGAACAUGUGGUUUAAUUCGAAGCAACGCGAAGAACCUUACCAGGGCUUGACAUCUGCAGAACCUUUCGGAAACGAGAGGGUGCCCGCAAGGGAGCUGCAAGACAGGUGGUGCAUGGCUGUCGUCAGCUCGUGUCGUGAGAUGUUGGGUUAAGUCCCGCAACGAGCGCAGCCCCCGUUGUUAGUUGCCAUCAGGUAAUGCUGGGCACUCUAGCGAGACUGCCGGUGACAAACCGGAGGAAGGUGGGGACGACGUCAAGUCAUCAUGCCCCUUAUGCCCUGGGCUACACACGUGUUACAAUGGUUGGGACAAUGCGAAGCAAUACAGCGAUGUGGAGCGAACCGCCAAACCCAGCCUCAGUUCAGAUCGUAGGCUGCAACUCGCCUGCGUGAAGUCGGAAUCGCUAGUAACCGCCAAUCAGCACGUGGCGGUGAAUACGUUCCCGGGCCUUGUACACACCGCCCGUCACGUCAUGGGAGCUGGUCACGCCCGAAGUCGGUGUGCUAACCCUCUGGGGAGCAGCCGCCUAAGGCAGGGCCGGUGACUGGGACGAAGUCGUAACAAGGUA
rnacentral:rRNA from 1 species